rnacentral:misc_RNA from 1 species
AACAACAACACCUAAAAUGUGGAAUAUAGCAUAUAGUCGACAAGAGAAAUCUACGAAAAAACAAACAAAACUUUCAACAACGGAUCUCUUGGUUCUCGCAUCGAUGAAGAGCGCAGCGAAAUGCGAUACCUAGUGUGAAUUGCAGCCAUCGUGAAUCAUCGAGUUCUUGAACGCACAUUGCGCCCCUCGGCAUUCCGGGGGGCAUGCCUGUUUGAGCGUCGUUUCCAUCUUGCGCGUGCGCAGAGUUGGGGGAGCGGAGCGGACGACGUGUAAAGAGCGUCGGAGCUGCGACUCGCCUGAAAGGGAGCGAAGCUGGCCGAGCGAACUAGACUUUUUUUCAGGGACGCUUGGCGGCCGAGAGCGAGUGUUGCGAGACAACAAAAAGCUCGACCUCAAAUCAGGUAGGAAUACCCGCUGAACUUAAGCAUAU